rnacentral:misc_RNA from 1 species
GAUGAAGAACGUAGCGAAAUGCGAUAAGUAAUGCGAAUUGCAGAAUUUCCGUGAGUCAUCGAAUCUUUGAACGCACAUUGCGCCCCCCAGUAUUCUGGCGGGCAUGCCUGUUCGAGCGUCAUUUCAACCAUCAAGCCCUGCUUGUGUUGGGGUCCUGCGGCUGCCCGCAGGCCCUGAAAACCAGUGGCGGGCUCGCUAGUCACACCGAGCGCAGUAGCACAUCUCGCUCAGGGCGUGCGGCGGGCUCCAGCCGUUAAAGCACCCACCUUUCGCAAGGUUGACCUCGGAUCAGGUAGGAAUACCCGCUGAACUUAAGCAUAUCAAUAAGCGGAGGA